rnacentral:tRNA from 1 species
GCCUUUGUGGUGUAAUGGUGAAAACACUUGGCAUGUAUUCGAGAGGUCCGAGGUUCAAGUCCCGGCAAGGGCA